UUUCAAAUACUUUUUCAACAUUUUAAUACUUGUUCAAUAAUUUUCAAAUCCUUGUUCAACAUUUUCCAAUACUUGUUCAACAUUUAUCAUAUACUUGUUCAACAUUUUUUAUAUAAUCGUUCAACAUUUUUUGAUAACUGUUCAACAUUUUUCAAAUAUGUUUUCAACAUUUUAUAAAUGUGAUUUUGCAGCGUGUUUUUUGUAAUAUAUACAUAUAUUUAUGUAGAAUAUUUCUAAAGUAUAAAUAAAAGUCCAAAAUGAAGCAAAAAAUGAGAACAGAAAAUAGAAAAUAAAACAGGUUCCCGUGCUGCUGGGCCGGCCCGUCAGGGCUCCAUCCGACGCGAGCGCAGCGCCCUGCUCGCUGAACGCGAGAAAAAAAACAUCGCCCUGCAUACAGUGUUGCGGCUGGUCCUUGCGGAGGCACUCGUUCUUUGCCGGCGCCGACGGGGGAAUGGAGGAUGCUAGUAUGGAGUUCCUGCAUGACGCCGUUGAAAGGUUCCCCCUGAGAGAGGAAUUCGCUGACAACUUUGAGCACCCAGAUCCGAUUCCCCUCGUCUUCUUGGCGGACGAUGUAGCCGGUCAUGUGGUUCUUGCGGAAUCUAAUACUGGGUCUGGUUGCGCGAAAAAGGUCGGAGACAAUGGAACACGUAGAGCGCGUGAAGGAGUUCGUCGUCGCCAUGAUGCAUUUCCGACAAGGUCGGCGCAAUCCACAAGCGCCUGGCUGGACAAAAAGGCUGCGGUUAGGCAGUGUGCCACCAAACCGGGCACCGUGUCCUUCUCGGAUGAGCGCUCUGGAGCAGUCGACCCGCAAGUAUGCAGAGGAGCUGAUAAGAGUGUAGUACGGCCUGAACUUGGUUUGAGUUUUGAUUCAUUGGGCGAGGCGCGCGACUUCUAUAAUUUGUACUCUUGGGAGAUCAGCUUUGGAAUAUGGUACGGGAAAAGCAGACUAAACGCCGAGAGGACUAAAGUACGGAAAAAGCAGACUAAAUGUGCGUACUCAUGGGGUUAUACCAGUGAGAUAGGGUGAAGCGAACGAUGGUGCAGGUGGGUGUUCCAGUGAACAAGAAGAUGAGGAAAUGAAGGAACGUGUGCGCAGCCUAGCUGCAGCAGCACAUGCUGUAGUCGACCGAGCCAUAGACAGUCCAGGACUCUUCGAAGGCAUAUUCGAGCAAGCGAGGGAUCUCCUAUCAAGACUUGGAGUGUGAGGAUACAUGCAGUCUGGUGCCUCACCUGGUGGUCAAGAACAGUGGGGUUUUAGCUCUACAUCUGCAGAAGAUGGUGAACACGAUGGCAUAAAUUGGGAUUUAAGUAGAGAAUGAAAGCCAGGAAGCUACAGAAAUGGAGACUCAGGAUCAAAACAAUACAGAGGAGGGGGGCAGAGCAGUUGCAGCUACUGAAGUUGAUGAUCAGGACAACAUCAAUUGGGAAGAACUAGGGAAUGCUAGUCAAGAAGCGCCAGCGUUGUCAACUGAAGAACAAAUUGAUGGUGACAAUAUAUUCGGUAUUCGCAAGGAAUCUUGAUGCCCUAUACAGCGGCAUAGAAUUGGACGAUGAUUUCCUAGAUGUGGCAUCAUAGGUGCCAAUUAAUUACAUGGUAGAACAAGUUGCAGUAGGUGCGCCAUCAUAUGUUGUUGAUGAAGAUCACAUAUAUUCUCUGCUUGCUUCUAUGAACACAUGCAUUCGAUGGGUUGCAUGGAUUGGAGCAAUGCUGGUUGUGGGGAGCUCCAGGCCAGGAGACGACACAGACGAAGACCCGCCUUGCAACGGUGUUAUCUUGCUAGGCUGGCAUAAUGAGGACCAAGAGGCACAACCAGAAGCUAGCAGAGACGGUGUCCGUGCAAGCCAACGCCAGAAAUCCCGUACCCAUUUUGUUGAUGUGGUGACAAACUGACGCUCUGGUCCUGCUUUCCGUCGUGAUGAUGAAGAUGGUGGUGAUGGCAGCUCCGACAAAGAGCAUGGCUUCUGUUAGCGGUGGAUCAGCAUCUAGAUUCCAGCAGGCUAUUGUCAACUAUCUGGAGAAGUGUGGUAUUCAGUACACGGUGAAUAAAACAAUGGUAAAGGGCAUACUUCCAUACCAGGGGCUGCAACUGCAGGUGCAGAUAAUUCAGCCAGGUGUGAGUGGGGGGAGAAGCAGUCCGUUGGACUAUAUCAUGUACAACCGUGUGAAAAUGACAUUUCGUUCCAUGUGAACAUGCUAGAGUGUGGCGAGAUCGGAAGAAAUGAUUCAAGCACUUUCAUCCAAUAUUGGCAGUGGCAUAUGGUCAGCACCUGAAAGAUGAGCUCACUCCCGGUGGCGAGUUGACACUGAAUACUUGGAGAUGCAUCCAUCACAUGCUUAGUCAGAUGGAGAAUACAAUAUACCGCGGGUGGCUUGAUAGGUUUAGAGGGAGUUUUGAUCCCGUUUUGUGGCAGGAAGAGCUGUGUAGGGAUGAUACUGAAACUGACUGGGAUUACAUCAGCACUAUGAUGGAUUCAGAAGUGAUGGGGCUAUAGGAUUGACUGGCUGAAGAAGGUAAAUGGAUUGGCUACCACAAACCUAGCAAUACUAUUUCCCUAUGGUACUAUCUAUCUGAUUUUGUAUGUGUGUUAUUGAACAAAUAAACUUUUAGUUCAUGUUCCCGGCGAACUUCAUGGAUACAGAGAAGAAAAUUAUGAUGGUGCUUGACCCUACUGAGACUGAUCCAACGGAUGAGAUGAAAAUCAAACAUGAGGCACUAGCAAAGAAGUUCCAGCAUAGGCUCUGCACCAUAUUCAAUGACUUUUCCGGUGCUGAGUUGGUUGAUACCCGUGGAUGGUCAUUUGUGUACCCGUUUGUGGCGCAACAUGAGCCAUGCAGUAGGUGUGUGCGACUGCCUUGAUCAUGCACAGGGUUUUUGUUGUUUAGGGAAAAAAAUCCUGUAACCCUUUUUAGUGUACAUCUUGUUUGCUUCGGAGGGAAGACAGUGAAUUGUAUAUCAUGCACUACUUCCUAGAGUGGACCCCCAAGAUGCAGCCAAGCACCUCAAGCACAUCCUGGACGACUUUGCUGCAGCCACUGGCCUGCAGAUCAACUUCACCAAAACAACUUUCAUCCCCCUAAAUGUGGACCCCCAGGAUGCCACUCAAAUGGCCUCAGACCUUGCCACGAACAUCUUCUCCUUCCCCCAAAUCUACCUGGGGUUACCUCUCUCUCGCACAAACUACCGCCCUCUGCCUUCCAGCCUGUCAUUGACCGUUGUGAUACCUAUCUAGCUGGCUGGUGUGCCUUCUCUCGCGUGGCGGUAAACUAGUUCUCCUCUCUGCUGUCCUAGACAGCCUCCCCACAUAUUUUAUGCUUUGUUUCUCUCUUCCCAUCCAGGUUAUUGAAGCAAUUGAUAAAAGUAGACACACCUUUUUUGUUCCAACGACGAGACCUGCUCAGGGGCUAAAUGCUUGGUUGCUUGGGAUAAAGUGUGCACUCCUAGAGAUGCAGGUGGUUUGGGUGUUAAAAACCUUCGCGCAUAAUUUUUUUGUUUACUGCUGAUAUUUGCUUACAAAUUUUUACAUUCCACCUCCCUCCCUUCGAAGGACUGGGUUUUGCAUCACUCGCCCCUCCACAUUGGUCAUGGAAAAAACAGCUCCUUUCUUGCAAAAACUAUUUUUAAACAUCUUCAGAGUUUGAGAGAGAUUUACCAGUGCACUAUUGGAGACGGUUGUUCCACCUUCUUUUGGUUAGAUCGAUGGCUAAAGCCAGAACCACUGGCUAUAGUUUACCCAACCCUUUUUUCACACCAUACAAAACCAAAUGCCAUGGUAGCUACCAUUAUGCAGGAGGGGAUCGAACUUGCUCUUCGUAAUCGGCUAACCACUACUGCGAUUGCAGAACUUGCCUCUCUAAACACUUCGUUGCAGGAUUGUGUUCUCUUGCAGGUUCCAGACACUCGUCGCCUGCUCAGCGGGUCUGCCUUCUCGACCCGGGGUGUGUACGCAGCUCUUUCGGAGCACCUCUCCGACCCCAUGCUUGCUGCCAUUUGGGACUCAAAAGUGCCCAAAAAGGUUAUGAUCUUCAGGUGGCUCUUCUACCUCGAUCGCCUUAACACCUGAAAGAACUUGCAUAAAAAGAUCAUCCUUGAUACAGAAGCAUGCCCAAGAUGCUCUCACCAGGUAGAAGACCGCGAGCACUUGUUCUUCACAUGCCCGGCAGCUCGGAGGAUUUGGCGGGCCACUACCAUUCGCCCAGGCUUCACGCUUAUUGGUGACCUCUUCACCACGACUUUACCGGCUGCAUUGCCCACCUCGGUCUGCCCAUUCAUGCUCCUUCUCGUUCUCUGGAAGAUCUGGGACGCACGAAACAAAAAGUCUUCCAAGGGAUAGAUCUUGCUGCUUCUGAUUCCGUUAGGGCUAUUAUUGAUGACCUGAUUGUAUGGGCUCCUCGGCUCAAAACCGAGAGUCUAAAGGAACACGUCGGGCUGUGGCGUGACUUCCUCUCCUCACACAAUGUGUGAUCUCUGUACACAACUGCAAUGUUUGAAAUAUAUUCAGGUGGGGAGCCUUUCCCCCCCGGUGACCAUUUAAAAAAAACUUCCUCGAGUUCA